AUUCCAGCUCCAAUAGCGUAUAUUAAAGUUGUUGCAGUUAAAAAGCUCGUAGUCGAACUUCUGAUAGUUGAUUUGGCUGGCUUCGGUCGCCUUGUUGGCUGUCAUCCGCUUGGGAAUUUCGUUCGGUCUUCAUUGAUUGGCGGGGGGAUCAAGCAUUUUACUUUGAAAAAAUUAGAGUGUUCAAGGCAGGCUAUCGCCAUGAAUACACAAGCAUGGAAUAAUGGAAUAGGACUCUCAGUCAUUUUAUUGGUUAUUGACUGAAAGUAAUGAUUAAUAGGGACAGUUGGGGGCAUUCGUAUUUAAUUGUCAGAGGUGAAAUUCUUGGAUUUAUUAAAGACGAACUUAUGCGAAAGCAUUUGCCAAGGAUGUUUUCAUUA
rnacentral:rRNA from 1 species